CUACGGGCCGCUGCAGUGAGGAAUUUUGCGCAAUGGGGGAAACCCUGACGCAGCAACGCCGCGUGAGCGAAGAAGGCCCUCGGGUCGUAAAGCUCUGUCAAGUGGGAAAAAAAUCUUUUGAUCAAUAGUCAAAAGCCUUUAUGGUACCACUGGAGGAAGCACCGGCGAACUCCGUGCCAGCAGCCGCGGUAAUACGGAGGGUGCAAGCGUUGUUCGGAUUUACUGGGCGUGAAAGAGCGUGUAGGCGGUUUAGCAAGUCAGAUGUGAAAGCCCUGGGCUCAACCCGGGAAGUGCAUUUGAAACUGCUUCACUAGAGUAUGGGAGAGGAGAUUGGAAUUCCUGGUGUAGAGGUGAAAUUCGUAGAUAUCAGGAGGAACACCCGUGGCGAAGGCGAUUCUCUGGACCAAUACUGACGCUGAGACGCGAAAGCGUGGGGAGCAAACAGGAUUAGAUACCCGCGUAGUC
rnacentral:rRNA from 1 species